UUUGGCUCGGCCCCCUUCCUAUCUUUCAGUUUAAAAAAAAUAAAGUUGGGGGGAAAUGCUAUAGCUGUAUUAGCAUUACAAUUUGUUCUUCCAUUCAUCACUCUGUCCCUCAGUCACUGUUAUAGUGUACUUGUUUAAAUUUUCCAGCUUGUUUCUUUCUCAGUUCUCUUGUUUUCUGCACACCCAACAUUUAUUUAUUUUCAUCCUAAUUUCAACAUGACAGCAUUUUUUUUUAAUAAUACUUUAUGUACAUAUAUGUCUCUCCCACAGGAUGUGGAAUUCUUCUGAAUCUUAAGAUGCUUGUCACAGUGAAAUACCUGGUCACAAGCAAUUUCCUCUUCACCAUAGCUGACUGCAUAUAAAUUGUCGUCAUCAGGUAGCAGGGCUAUUGGAGAUGUCAAAUGAUAUACCUGGUACACUUUCUACAUAUAAUUUCUCUAUCCGAGGAAGCACACCAUGUGUCCGAAAAAGUUUAUGAUGUUGCUGGUAUGGCAGGAGUUACAAAGAGUGUCAGGGUCAAGGUUAGACUACACCUAGGAUCAGUCCGCUCAUUCUCAGUAGUGAUGCACAGGCUGACGGAUGAGGUCAGGCAGCAGUCUCCAUGGACCAUGAUAUUUGUGGAUGACAUUGUGAUAUUUAGUGAAGGCAGGGAAGAAACUGAAAAUGAACUAGAGAGGUGGAGGUAUGCACUGUAUAAGUGGGAUGAAAAUCAGCAGGAGCAAGACUGAGUACAUGUGAGUGAGCCCUACGGAGAUGGUACAGUGAGGUUUCAGCGAGUGGAGUUGGCAAAAGUUGAUAAGUUCAAAUACUAGGGCUUAACAGCCCAAAGCAAUGGAACGUGUGCUACAGAAAGGAAGAAAAGAGUACCGUACUGGCCAGAUGGAAUAUAGGGAGAAUGGUGACACGAUCAUCCAAUAUUUCUGCUCCAGGACAAAGCCCUGGGGCUGUCCUGUGGUGACUGUGUCCAUUUAUAGCAUCAAAGAGCAGUCAAGUUACAGAUAUCAUAAAAGACCUUUUGGUGUCAGAAAAUCUUUAUUUGGUAAUAAAUUUACCUGUAUUUUCAACAUGGAAAAAUAAAAUAUUAAACUGU